UAAUCGGUAUAAAUGAUCUCAGAAAACCUGCUAGCAGUUGUAUCUUGCAGGAUCAGUUCAGUACAAACACGUAUAUGUGAUGGACUAAGAACUUCAACAUUAUCGUGCAACCACAGACACAGUUUGUUUACCCUGGACAGGAGGAUUUGCGUUCAGAGCUUCCUUUUUGUUUGUCUAUAUAAGUAAAUUUCUUGUAGCCUUGGCAAACGUCAAAUUAAUUUUUAACUUUUCUGAAUGCUAGACCUGAUCUGUGUCUCUUGUGUCUCAUUGUGUUAUGUUGUGUUAAGUUUUUGCUCCUCUUUCAGCACAUUUUUUAAACAAAUAGUCAAACAACCCUUUGAUUUGUUUUCUUAUUUACAGAAUAUAUACUUAAAUACACAAUUGAAUUAAGCACAAAUACAUCUUUACACUAUUUUUUAACAGUGACAAAUGGUCAUUGAUACACUAGGCCUGAUAUUAAUCAAAUAAAAUUCAUUGUACUGUCUCAUCAUUCCCCUCAUCAUCAUCACAUUUGGUUUCCCUUUUCUUAGAAAGCACAACUCACUUAUCAGAUGCAAAGUUCUUAUCUAGACAUUAGUCUGAAAAUGACCUUGCCUUUUAUAUGAAAAAUAAUAAUAAUAAUAAUAAUAAUAAUAAAAACACUCAGAAUCAAGUUAAUAGUGAUAGUUUACCACAGUGGAGAGGAGGUCAUGUGGCUCGGGCACCACUUGGUGAUGCCUUGGCCUGCUCAGUCAUCCAGUGUGGCAAUCUGAUUGUGAUUUUGGGCUAUAUCAAUAUAAUUGAUUUGAUUUAACAGGUUUUUAUAAUAUAAGCAAAUAAAAUAUACAUUUUCUAGAUUUUUGUUUUUGUUUAUUUGUUGUUCAGAUGGUCUCUAGGGGAGGGACAUAAGUGUGGAAGAAUGGUUGCCAUUUGUCCAAUCAAGUGAUGCGUACCUAAAAAUGCACUUUAGCGAACGUUAGAAAAAGUGAGAGAGGAAAAAAAAAAGACUUAGAAAUGGGUUCUUGUGAGUCACAGUCUACAGCCUGUAGUAAGGAGGCCGGUGUAUAGCACUUUAAGAAACAGCUAGUGCUGAGGUCACUGAACAAAGGAGGAUGACCAACUGAAUUCAGAGGGAGGUAAAGGGAUUUAAGAGAGGCAUUUAUUUUGGCCCCAGUACGACAGCAAGGGCUCGAUACAAUUAUGCUAGCUUAGUUAACUAAGUCGUUUCUGGUCAGCUGUCGCCAUAGCAACCCGCAGCCUCGGCAGACCAACGCAGGUGCAGCCUGACGACCGGAGGAUCUCGACAGUUUUACUGGGGUCUCUGUGUACAACCAUUGCCCUUGCAUUUCCUGACUGAAAGCCUUGACGGUGGAAUUCUUCAGAAACUGACUUUUGCUCCAAAGAAGCGAUGGAGGUGAAGAAGGGCAGGAGUGGAUUAUGCUACAGUUGGCCUGUAAAAUGUCCCCAUCCAUUAUUUGUUCCUGGAUAGAGAUAGUGGGAGCUUUUCUCUCUGGAAGUAAAAACAUGGUGAAAUAUGAAAAUAAAUGUUAUUUCAAGAUCAA